UACGUAGGGGGCAAGCGUUGUCCGGAAUCAUUGGGCGUAAAGCGCGCGUAGGCGGCCCGGUAAGUCCGCUGUGAAAGUCCAGGGCUCAACCCUGGAAAGCCGGUGGAUACUGCCGGGCUAGAGUCCGGAAGAGGCGAGUGGAAUUCCUGGUGUAGCGGUGGAAUGCGCAGAUAUCAGGAGGAACACCAAUGGCGAAGGCAGCUCGCUGGGACGGUACUGACGCUGAGACGCGAAAGCGUGGGGGAGCAAACAGG
rnacentral:rRNA from 1 species